rnacentral:rRNA from 1 species
UGCAAGUCGAACGAAGUAGCAAUACUUAGUGGCGAACGGGUGAGUAUAAUGUGGGUAUCUGCCUUUUGGUGAGGAAUAACAUGAGGAAACUUAUGCUAAUACCUCAUAAGCCUUUACAGGGAAAGUUUUAACGCCAAAAGAUGAGCUCGCACUUGAUUAGCUAGUUGGUAGGGUAAUGGCUUACCAAGGCUACGAUCAAUAGUUGAUCUGAGAGGAUGAUCAGCCACAUUGGGACUGAGACACGGCCCAAACUCCUACGGGAGGCAGCAGUAGGGAAUCUUGCACAAUGGGGGAAACCCUGAUGCAGCGAUGCCGCGUGAGUGAAGAAGGCCUUUGGGUUGUAAAGCUCUUUCGUCGGGGAAGAAAAUGACUGUACCCGAAUAAGAAGGUCCGGCUAACUUUGUGCCAGCAGCCGCGGUAAUACGAAGGGACCUAGCGUAGUUCGGAAUUACUGGGCUUAAAGAGCUCGUAGGUGGUUAGAAAAGUUGGUGGUGAAAUCCCAAGGCUUAACCUUGGAACUGCCAUCAAAACUUUUUGACUAGAGUAUGAUAGAGGAAAGUGGAAUUUCUAGUGUAGAGGUGAAAUUCGUAGAUAUUAGAAAGAACACCGAUUGCGAAGGCAGCUUUCUGGAUCAUUACUGACACUGAGGAGCGAAAGCAUGGGUAGCGAAGAGGAUUAGAUACUCUCGUAGUCCAUGCCGUAAACGAUGUGUGCUAGACGUUGGAAAUUUAUUUUUCAGUGUCGCAGCAAAAGCGUUAAGCACACCGCCUGGGGAGUACGACCGCAAGGUUAAAACUC